rnacentral:rRNA from 1 species
AGACCCGAAACCCGGUGAUCUAGCCAUGGGCAGGUUGAAGGUUGGGUAACACUAACUGGAGGACCGAACCGACUAAUGUUGAAAAAUUAGCGGAUGACCUGUGGCUGGGGGUGAAAGGCCAAUCAAACCGGGAGAUAGCUGGUUCUCCCCGAAAGCUAUUUAGGUAGCGCCUCGUGAAUUCAUCUCCGGGGGUAGAGCACUGUUUCGGCUAGGGGGCCAUCCCGGCUUACCAACCCGAUGCAAACUGCGAAUACCGGAGAAUGUUAUCACGGGAGACACACGGCGGGUGCUAACGUCCGUCGUGAAGAGGGAAACAACCCAGACCGCCAGCUAAGGUCCCAAAGUCAUGGUUAAGUGGGAAACGAUGUGGGAAGGCCCAGACAGCCAGGAUGUUGGCUUAGAAGCAGCCAUCAUUUAAAGAAAGCGUAAUAGCUCACUGGUCGAGUCGGCCUGCGCGGAAGAUGUAACGGGGCUAAACCAUGCACCGAAGCUGCGGCAGCGACACUGUGUGUUGUUGGGUAGGGGAGCGUUCUGUAAGCCUGCGAAGGU